AUUGAACGCUGGCGACAGGCUUAACACAUGCAAGUCGAGCGGAGAUGAGGUGCUUGCACCUUAUCUUAGCGGCGGACGGGUGAGUAAUGCUUAGGAAUCUGCCUAUUAGUGGGGGACAACAUUCCGAAAGGAAUGCUAAUACCGCAUACGCCCUACGGGGGAAAGCAGGGGAUCUUCGGACCUUGCGCUAAUAGAUGAGCCUAAGUCGGAUUAGCUAGUUGGUGGGGUAAAGGCCUACCAAGGCGACGAUCUGUAGCGGGUCUGAGAGGAUGAUCCGCCACACUGGGACUGGGACACGGCCCAGACUCCUACGGGAGGCAGCAGUGGGGAAUAUUGGACAAUGGGCGGAAGCCUGAUCUAGCCAUGCCGCGUGUGUGAAGAAGGCCUUUUGGUUGUAAAGCACUUUAAGCGAGGAGGAGGCUACCUGGAUUAAUACUCUAGGAUAGUGGACGUUACUCGCAGAAUAAGCACCGGCUAACUCUGUGCCAGCAGCCGCCGUAACAC
rnacentral:rRNA from 1 species